rnacentral:rRNA from 1 species
GACGAACGCUGGCGGCGUGCCUAAUACAUGCAAGUUGAGCGCUGAAGGUUGGUACUUGUACCAACUGGAUGAGCAGCGAACGGGUGAGUAACGCGUGGGGAAUCUGCCUUUGAGCGGGGGACAACAUUUGGAAACGAAUGCUAAUACCGCAUAAAAACUUUAAACACAAGGUUUAAGUGUGAAAGAUGCAAUUGCAUCACUCAAAGAUGAGCCCGCGUUGGAUUAGCUAGGUUGUGAAGGAAAGGGUCACCAAGGCGAAGAUACAUAGCCGGCCUGGGAGGGUGGACGGCCAAAAUGGGACUGGGACACGGCCCAAACUCCUUCGGGAGGCAGCAGUAGGGGAACUUCGGCCAAGGGCGAAAGUCUGACCGGGCCACGCCGCGUGAGGGAAGAAGGUUUUCGGAUCGUAAAACUCUGUUGGUUGGGAAGAAAGUUGGUGGGAGUGGAAAGCUCAUCAAGUGACGGUACCUACUCAGAAAGCGACGGCUAACUACGUG